rnacentral:misc_RNA from 1 species
CAACCCUCGAGCCCGACUUCCUUGCGGAGGACGGCUCGGCGUUGGGGGACGGCACACUCCCCCCGGUUCGCCGGGGACGCCGCCCCCGAAAUUCAGUGGCGGCCCUCGGAGGCGCCCUCUGCGUAGUAACUCAACCUCGCAAAGGGAAGCUUCGAGCGGCCACGCCGUGAAACCCCAACUCUUUAA